AACACUGCAAAACAGAAUUGUUAAAGUUUUAAUUUUAAUAUCAAUUCAGGUUAGAUUUUUUUGUGCGGAACGCAGAUUUUCUGUGCGCAGAGACCGUGCGCAAUUGCCCACGCGUGCAGCUUAGAGGGAACAUUGCCCUUGAGUGAUGUUGUUGCACAGGUUUAUCUGUGGAUAGAGGCAGUGGAAAGAUUCUUUCUCCUGUCUUCUCCAUUAUAUGUUAAAGAAAGGCACGAGGAUGGUUUUUCUGGACUUCCGGAAACAUAGUGCCAGCAGCAAGACGGAGAUCAGGCCAACACCACCAACGGUAGCAAACACGAUGGUACCUGAUGAAAACAAGACAAUUAUCAGAUCUUGUUCAUGUAAACACUUUAAGCCAAUAAGCUAUUAGCUAAGCUAAUAUCAAACAAAACUUUACCUGUGUUGAUUUUAGGUUCUUCUUCAGCUGUGAAGUUUAGGGCUGUAGGAAGAAUGAAGUAUUACUUCAUGUGUACCUGAACAUAUGUAUCGAAACCAGUCCGCUCCACUCCACACCAGUAUUUCUUUGAGUCUGACAGCUGAAGAUUGCUGAAGGUCACAGUGACGAAUCCAUCCCCAGAGUCCACCAGAGCAAUCCUCCCUGACUCUGCUCUUCGUCCAGAUUCUACAGUAACCAGUAUGUCUCCUGUGCUUGUACAUGGAUCUUUGCAGAAAUACUUGUUAUUGCUCCAUGCAAGUGCGUGUGAGCACCGGAAGGAGACAUUUCUCCCUUCAAAUUCCUCUACAUUGAUUAUGCCUCCAUCGAUUAAUGUAACUGUUGAAAUUGAUGUAAUAAGUCAUUUAGUAAUAAUAAUAAGUCAUGUGAUAAGAUAUAAGACAUCAAAAUAAACAUUUAAAUGACAUAAUCUACUAAACUUGUGUAGUCACUUACCAUAUAAAAAGCAGUAGAGGAAAGAAGUCUUCUUCAUUGUAGCUGAAAAAGUGACGUGUACGUAGUUCUUUAUUUUAAGUGAUCUCUUAGACAACCCAGACCUGCUUCUGCAGGUUUGUGGGCACAAAGGGAGGAAAUG